rnacentral:rRNA from 1 species
CAUGUUGGAGUGGCCUUCGGGCCCCGUCCUCCAUAAACCCACCUCUGUGUACCUUUUCCUGUUGCUUCCGCUGGGUCAUCCGGGUGUUCGCACCCGGUACGUCCGGCGAGGAGAAGGCCUCCCCUCUCCGGAGGAGUGGCUGGACCUUCGCCCGGUCGGAGCGCCCCGCGGGAGGUAAGCGAAUUGAAACUCUUUUGCAAUGCAUAGCUUCUGUCUGAAAUGAUAAAGAUAAAAGUUAAAACUUUCAACAACGGAUCUCUUGGUUCUCGCAUCGAUGAAGAACGCAGCGAAAUGCGAUAAGUAGUGUGAAUUGCAGAAUUCCGUGAAUCAUCGAAUCUUUGAACGCACAUUGCGCCUCCUGGUACUCCGGGAGGCAUGCCUGUCCGAGCGUCAUUAUAACCCUCUCAAGCUUAAUUGCUUGGUCUUGGAGCUGGAGCGUCCUCAGCGGCGGUCCGCUCCGAAUUCCAAUGGCAGACGACGGUGUCAACGUCAGCGUAGUGAGCAUUUUGCAUCGCGAAGCGUAGUCACCCGUCCCGCCGACACAAACCCUUCAUUCUAGUGUUGACCUCGGAUCAGGUAGGGAUACCCGCUGAACUUAAGCAUAUCAAUAAGCGGAGGAAAAGAAACCAACAGGGAUUGCCUCAGUAACUGCGAGUGAAGCGGCAAGAGCUCAAAUUUGAAAUCUGGCGUCUUUCGGCGUCCGAGUUGUAAUUUGGAGAGGCAUCUUCGGAGGUGGAGCCGUCCUAAGUUCCUUGGAACAGGACGUCACAGAGGGUGAGAAUCCCGUGCUCGGGCGGCAGCCCAUCUCCAUGUGAAGUGUCUUCGACGAGUCGAGUUGUUUGGGAAUGCAGCUCAAAGUGGGUGGUAAAUUUCAUCUAAAGCUAAAUAUUGGCGAGAGACCGAUAGCGCACAAGUAGAGUGAUCGAAAGAUGAAAAGCACUUUGAAAAGAGAGUUAAAAAGUACGUGAAAUUGUUGAAAGGGAAGCGCUCGAGACCAGACUCGACUUUCACCGAUCAGCCGUGCUUCUGUGCGGUGCACUCGGGGUUUGUCGGGCCAGCAUCGGUUCCGGCGGUGGGAUAAAAGGCACUGGAAUGUGGCUCCCCUCGGGGAGUGUUAUAGCCAGCGUCACAAUGCCACCUGCC